GAAAAAGUGAAUAUUAUUGGUUUAAUAGUUAAUUUUUUUCGUUUUUAAAGAAAUAAUUUUUAGGUGAAAUUUAUAAUUGUUUUAUAAAAAUAUUAUAUGAAGCUAUGAAAUUUAUUAAAUAAACAAGGAUUAGAUACCCUUUUAUUAUAAAUGUUAAUAUAAACCUGGGUAGUAAUAGUUAUGUUCUUGAAACCCAAAGAAUUUGGCGGUAUUUUAGUCUUUUCAGAGGAAUCUGUCCCAUUAUCGAUAACCCACGAGAGGAUUUACUUGUUUUUGUUUAAUCAGUUUGUAUACCUCCGUCAUAAGAGUAUCUUUUUAGAGAAAAUAUUCUUUUUAUAUAAAAUAUAAUAUGUCAGGUCAAGGUGCAACUAAUAAAUAAGAGGAGAUGGAUUACAAUAAAUUUAUUUAUAUGAAUUAAAAUAUUUAAAGUUUUAUGAAGGUGGAUUUGAUAGUAAUAAUUAAUAUUUUAUUUAUUUGAUUUUAGCUCUAAAAUAUGCACACAUCGCCCGUCGCUCUCAUUAUUUAAAAUGAGAUAAGUCGUAACAUAGUAGAUGUAUCGGAAGAUGUAUCUAGAAAGUA
rnacentral:rRNA from 1 species